AAGUACUAGUUAGAUGACAUACCUUUUGAUGUAGCUUGAUGUCUUCAAGCUUUAAGAGCUUAGCCCCAAUAGUGUGGAAGCCUCAAAUGGAAUCACAAAUCACCAAAACACCUUGGAAGACUUUAGAGAAUAUCGAUACUUGGUUCUCUCUAGUGAAAUUGGCUAGCCCUUCUUAGUGUACCACACUAGUGCCAAUUUCACCAACCAAGGACAUCUUUAUAUAGUGUGGAGGAUUAGGGUUAAACCCUAAUACCCAUGACCUUUCAUUUCCUAGGAUCCAUGGGUUAAACACUCCAUGGACUAUCCAUGAAAGCUUAGCCCAACCUAAAUGAACUUGGCCCAUUCCAUAUAUAUAAGAGUCCAUAUUUAAUUAGUUCCUUUUGAUCACUUAAUUAAUUAUAAAUUAAUUCUUGAUCAAUACUAAUUAAAUAAUAUGAUUCCAUAUUAAUAUAUUAGAACUUAUAAUAUAUUAAUAUUAAUCAUAAACAUACUAUUCUCAAAAGAUUAUCCAUAUAAAUUGUGUCGGUGAAGUGCAACCCAAAUGGACCAUGCCGGGUCGGGUCAAGUACAUACCAAAUAUAGUUAUGGACUUAGACAUUAAUCCAACAGUCUCCCACUUGGAUAAGUCUAAAACUAUUAUUGCGUAUGACUUCAAACCUAACUGGCAAUCGUAGCUCUUAAAGCCGCUGUCGAACUCUGAUCUUGUCAACGAACUUGUCCAUUAGAUAAGGGAUCAUAUAUUCCUCCAUUCUAGAUAUCAUAUGGACUGAGACAUGGAUUAUAAUCAUUCUCUCUGUCCAUUUGUUGUUUCCCGAUUUCCGAUUUAUGACGACUGACUAAUUGAACAAAUCAAAUCAGUCCUGGCCCGGCCGAGCACUUCCAUUUGUCAUCAUCAAAUCAUCGAGGGGCCCACAGAUAUCGCUUUUAUCCCGAAGGUAAAAGGAAUGGAUAAACUUCGACUCAUAUGGCUUGUUCUACUACUUGUUGAAUCAUACACAAAGGCACGUUUUAUAGCACCGAGUUACCAAAUGCGUUUUCGUGCAAUCAAUGUACAACCAACUCAUAGUAACAACUCAUAUCUCUAGGUUUGAAGAAUAUAAGAUAUUAUCGUCUCAUGAUCACUCGUGAUAAAAUCCAUGAAGUGAUUCCAAUGAGCGCGGGUUGAAUCCAAUACUCAGAACUUAUGAGCACUCAUGAGUGUUGUAGCCCUUUGUCCAACACCUUAGACCUCUACAAGCCAACCCAUGACAGUCUUAAUUCAUAUCUACUUCCAACAUAUGACCGACUGUGGAUGGUUUGAAUAACUUAGUCAUUCCGGAAGAAUAACCUAGUUUAUUCGGGAAGUCAAAACAUGCAAAGUGAAACACAAUAAUAAUUGAAUCCAAUAUGGUAUCAAAACUUAUGAACAUAAAUAAAACACCUUUUAUUUAUCACCAUAUGAUUACACAUUAUUCAUUGUAUACUGUUUCAGCUAUCAACUUUAUUCUUGAAUUUAAAACAAUAGUUGUCCCAUGCUCCAAGCAUGUACACUAUGUUUUCUUAAACACUAGUCAUGCCACACACCAAGUAUGCAUACUAUGUUUGUCUAUGAUCUUUACUUUGUGAACUAGAUCAAUUGAACAUAACUUCAAUGAUUCUCUUUUCACACUCCCAAAUCCUUACUGCAAAUGCAAGAAUUCCAAAUUCAUGCCAUUUACUGAAAUCUGUUAGAUUCUAAACUUAUAUGCAUUGAUCCUCUUGUAAUGAUUAUGCACAAAGUCAGAAAGACUUGACAACAAUCAUUACAGAGUAUUCCAAAGGAGAUCAGCUCCUUGGAAACAUCCUUCUUGCAUUAAGUUUCCUAAUCUUAAACAGAUUGAAAAUUCUAACUUUGAAACAUUUCCAGAUUCCAUUUUGACUAUCACUUCUGAACAAGAGUUGCCUCCUUACAGAUUAUGUCAAUAUGGUCCUUCCAGAAUUAUCACUAUACUUCCAACUGUCCUUGAGCAACCAAUCUUUGGUAAACCUUAGAUUGUCCUCGACAAUUGUUUAAUCCUUUUAGUCAUAUCCAGUUCUAAACCUUUUCCCUUCUUAAUGCCCCAGGCAUUUGGAAAAUUUUAGAACGGAUGAAUAUAGCACAUGUAAUCGAUCCUAUAUCCGAAGCAUAUGGGACACGAUUCAUGAUGUCUCACAUAAAGACUAAACCAGUCUUUUGCUAUAAUAUUUCCAUUUCAAUUUGCCAAGUUCUCAUAAUUCAGAUUAUGAAAAGGGAUGCCGUAAUCAUAAUCGAAUUUUAGAACGCAAAUAAUGGACCCAUAUACAGAAUUUCCUUAUGUUGAGCCAUUCCAACAUGAAAUUCAUAUAUAUCCUUGACUAAAUGAUUAAAACCUCACGAUCUAAGCUUAUAGAUUUGAGAUGAAGCAUAAUUUCCUCUCCCUUAAUUAUAGCAAAACAACUUUUUCCCAAUUGAAACUUUUGUUUUCUAUAAUUAACAUUGCUAACUUGCAAUACUUAUCAUAAUUAUCAUGCUCCCACUAACAUGAUGAUUAUUAGCAUAACACUUAUGCUCCCACUAGCUUUGACAUGUACUCAGAAAUCAGCUGGACUUCUAGAAAUCAAUACUUCAUUGACUUUCUUACCAAAGUUCAGAUUUCUGAUACUAGAUUGUUUUGAUAAAACUUUAUCAAAAUCAUACACCUUCCCUUAGAUAGCACACUUGUGUAUCUAAACAAUUAUGAAGAGGGAUGCCGUAAUCAUAAUGUUUAGACCUUUUUGCCACUUCUCACAAGUCCAAAUUAGUGUGCCGGUUAACCACACGCGCUCCACUAACGACUUUGAGAAUGCAAAUAUCACAAUUGCUAUCUAGCUAAAAUCUACUUAGUGAAAGUGUUUCCUCACCAUCAUUUUCAUGAAUCGGAGAGAAACCUUAUGACACUUAGAUUUAAUGGUGUAUGUGUUCUUAUCCAUGUGAAUUGUCAAAACCAUAGUCACAAGACAAGGAUAAUGACAAAUCCAAACUCAUAUGGACUGAACUCAAUCUUAAUUUCUUGCCACCUGGCAGCUCAAGGGCCUGCCAUUGCUUCCAAGUUGUUGUGCAACAAAUUGAGAACUCUAAGAACUCAUAUGCAAAGCCAACUUUAACUGGAAUGGGCACAGAAUAUGUCAACACGAUAGGUUAUGAACCUCAAGUCGUGUGCUAGUGAAGAACUUCAGGUUUUAUUCUUGAUUAGUUCUUGAGACUUUCAAGACCUUUAAGACUCCCACUGUCCUCUUGACAUAUAAGACUCCCUUGUCAAACAUCCAAGAGAUAGUGCGGAUUCUAAUCAAGAAAAACACUUUACCCAAUUGGCCUAAGUUGGUCUUUGUUUUAUCCAAAACAUCACAACUUACCAAUUUCAAAUGUACAAGAGUAGAAAACUUUUACUCUUACAUUUGACAAGUGUUUUAAACCUUCUUUAAGACAUGUCACUCAAAUGACAAUCUUGGAGUAUGACUCUAAGACUUGUAUUGGAACGAAGUAUGACUCAUCUUCUUGAUUUAACCAUUUCAACAAUUCAAGUUCCUCUUCUUAGUCAUAAGAAUGCACUAAGAUUUCCUUAGAGAACUAAUUUUGAUAUGGUUUCUUAAUCAUUAAGAUGAUCACAAAACUGAUACUAAAGUACUCUCCCAUCUUUUCAGAUUUGAGAAACUUUUAUCCUUCUGCCUUAUUUGAUUCUUCUUAUCGAUCUUUAGUGGUGGACUUAAUCAGUGCACAAGAAUGUGUACUCGAUCCCUAAGUCCUUUACUUGACUCACACAUCCAUGUGAACAAGUAAUUAGUCUUAAUUUUCCAAAACUUGAAAGUUCUCAUUCAUCAUGCUAUACAACUUGCAUGAUUCCAAGUUCCGGUCCAAUUGAAACUUGGGUGAUGAGAAUCUUUCCUUAUUUGGUAAAUUUAGACAUUACCACAAAUGAAAGAAUCAAUUUCAUACUUCCACUCUUGCUACUAAUGGAAUCUUAUAAGCAACAAAAAUUUCCACAGAUGCCAUUGUAAGGAUAUUUUAAAAUAAAUAAAAUCAAAAAUUUCCUUUUAUUUUAAAACUUUGCGGAAAAACUAUCCUUACAAUCCAUAUGAAAACUUGUUGUUAUCUAUUCCUAAGCAAUAUCUCAUAACUCCUAAGAAGUAGCUCAAGAAUCCGAUUUUUCAAACUAUGCGAUAGAAAUCCAUCUAUGCGAUCAGAUUCAGCAUAUUCUUCCUUUAAGUUUCUUCACUUUCCUUUGAUUCUUAAACCAUCACCAUGCGACCCGGUCACAUCAUGUAUCAAGAAUCUCAGAAUAGAAACUUAACAGAGUUAGAUAGUGGAUUUUACCUGAAGUAGAGUCAAACUUAUUGACUUUAACAUCCUUAGGUAAAUUUGGCAGCUUCGCAACCAAUGCCCUUUCUUUGGCAAUACAAACAUAUGGACCCUUUGAUAAUGGUACACAGGACUAUCACAGACUUAGCUUUUCUCUUUACCAUUUGGUCAACCGAGUUGACUAUAGCCGAUCCCUUUCCAUUGGGAAGAGAAUGCUUUACUGGAUAUCCAAUGUCAUCAUUGUCAAUGUCCAUAAAGUUUUAGGAAGUUGAUCUUAACAAAUAGAUAAGAUCAUUAAGGGUCUUGUCAUAGUCUUUUUCAUAGGUGUUCCAAAAGAACUCACUAUGUGACUUAGAAAGUAGUUGAACCACCAACUUUCUCAAGACUUUGACACCCAACUCUCCCGGCUUGUCAAUAUGUGACUACAUCUCCAAGAUGUGACCACACCUAGACCUUGCCUUGCCAAAAGGGCCUGAGUGACCUUAAACUUUUCAAGAACUUGUGGGUUAGGGAGAAUAAUUUGAAGAGGUGAAGAAGUAUGAUAUCCAUGGGACAUCAUCUUCAUUAGGAAACCUUGUUUCAAGAGAUUUGGGAAGAUCAUAGGUGUCUAAACCAGACAUCUUUUGGGAGAUAUUCAAGAUAGUUGAUUUAAAGUCCUUAAUAUGACACCCAAUAUGAAAUAUUAAGGCUAGGACCCAACAAACUAUUUUAUAACUUAGAAGAGGUAUGCCGUAAUCCAAGCUAUAAAAUAUUUGAAGGUAGGUGAAUGACGAUUCACCAAUUUCCACCAAGAUAAACGAAAUGUAUUAUUAGGUUUUAAUUGGUUUUGAAACUCCUAGAUCUUUGAGAUUCAUUGAACUUUUCAAAGGCAUGUUUCAAUCUCGAGUGUGCCCUUCAGGUUUUGUGACUGGGAUGCCGAGGAUCACAAAACAAGGUGUGAAGUAACCAUGCAAAUCACUUGGUACCCUUAAUAAAUUACCCCUCAAUCGAUGUGCCGGUUAACCACACACGCUCCAUCGAUACUAUGAUAAAUAUUAAGUCACCCUUUACCUACCUUGUUAAGUCCAAGUUAGUGUGCCGGUUAACCACACACGCUCCACUAACGACUUAGACAAAGUGUAAAGUGUAAUUUCAUGGAUUAGCACCUUAUUCACAUUUUUCCUAAGUAACUAAGAUUGGGUAUUAUUAAGAGUUUAGUUACUUAGUAUUAUCAUUAAUACUUUUAAUGAAGGGAGAAUUCUAGUCCUGUCAAACCCGUUCGGCUAACGACCCUCCACCAGUCAAGCAAGCGGUGGGUGAGAGUGGACACCCAUUAAGUUGCCAUUUUAUAGGCAACAACCUUAUACCCACCUUAUAGACCGGCUUCGUGAAUGAGGCGUACUAGCGGUAAGACUGACUUUACUCUUAUACAUAUAUAUAUUAUUAACUUAUAAUAUUAUAAAGUAUAAGGGUUGAAUUUUAACUUUUAAAAUUCUAAGGGCUAACUUGGAAUUAAAGUAUUCAUAAGUGAAAACUUUACAAAUUCCAAAACUUGAGGGCAAGUUUUGAAACUAUUCAAAACUAAUUAAUUCCAUAACUUAUGUGUUUAAAGUAGUUUUAAUCCAAAAACUCUUCAAGUUCCAUAACUUGAGGACAAGUUAUGGAAGACUUUAAACUAAUAAAAGAAUUAACUUUUCUUUAUUUUAUAACUUAUGGAAUUAAUUAAGGUUACACUUUUUUUUUUUUUAUUUUAUUUUAUUAAAUGAAGAGACUCUUGGUCCUCCAUAACUUGAGGACAAGUUAUGGAGUCAUAAAACCAUUUAAUUAGAACUAGACUCUUCAUUUUUGUAACCUUUGCCAAUUUUUAUGAGUUUUAUGAUUCUUAAAUGUGACUUUUCAUAUAACUUGAGGACAAGUUACAAAAACACAUUUUAGAAUCAAUUCUUAGAUUAAUUUGGAUUAAAACCAACUAUCACAUAAUUUUAUUCAUUAAUCUAAAUUCACUCAUAAAACAAGGUAACACAAAAAACUUUUGGUGAUCCAUAACUUAUUCUUAAGUUAUGGAAUCCUUUAAAACAUUAACACCAAAUUUUGUAACUCCAAAAAAACUUUGAAUCAAUUUUUUUUUUAAAACCUUUUCAUAUCCAUAACUUAUGGAGGUUUCAAAAAAUAAAACUCUUUAGAUCAAACUUUUAAAACUAAUAAAAUAAUCAUAUUAUUUUAUCUUUUAUUAAAUUUGACCUAAUUCAACUCAUAAAGCAAAUUAUUCAAAUUUUACAAAUAAUUAGUUUUUCACAAGAACAAGUAAUUAUCUUAAAAUUUGACAAACUUCAUGUUUUUUUUUUUUUUUUUUUUCAACUUUGAAAAUAAAAUAUUUGCAUCAAUAUAACAGAAAACAACCCGUGGCUCUGAUACCACUGUUGGGUUUUGAGCAUUCUAACACUCCUAUGGUGUACAUGCAACCCUAUAAACCUUGGAUCUAUGUUUUCUCUAUAAUACAUGCAAAUAAGAACUUUCCAAGGCUUUAAUCCUAACUAGCAUAUUAUGAAGUUCUUAUACUACAAAGUACUAGUUAGAUGACAUACCUUUUGAUGUAGCUUGAUGUCUUCAAGCUUUAAGAGCUUAGCCCCAAUAGUGUGGAAGCCUCAAAUGGAAUCACAAAUCACCAAAACACCUUGGAAGACUUUAGAGAAUAUGGAUACUUGGUUCUCUCUAGUGAAAUUGGCUAGCCCUUCUUAGUGUACCACACACUAGUGCCAAUUUCACCAACCAAGGACAUCUUUAUAUAGUAUGGAGGAUUAGGGUUAAACCCUAAUACCCAUGACCUUUCAUUUCCUAGGAUCCAUGGGUUAAACACUCCAUGGAAUAUCCAUGAAAGCUUAGCCCAACCUUAAUGAACUUGGCCCAUUCCAUAU
rnacentral:lncRNA from 1 species